GAUCGCUGACCAUCUGUGCAAAAGGUGAUCAUUGUUAGGUACUCACAUGGCUGGUGGCAGAGCAGCUCUUAGCAAUUAAUAAGUCUCUCAGCUUGAGCUCUUCUUUCCCCUUUCGAAUGGCAGCGCUCUCUGCGUGGCUCGCUCUCACUCGCGCGCACACACCAAACCCGAUCUGAUGCUGCAGGACCGGCCACUUUGCGAGGGCAACAACACGGGAGGGUUUGUAUUACUCCAGUUGUGGGGGGGAAGAUGUCUACGCGAUACCGUGUGGAACUGCAGGAGGCGGGCAGGCAGGCUUCCCUGAACGUGCCCUCAUUUUGAAAGCAAGUGAAGAACAGAAAGAAAACAGGUGCCUGACAGGGCUGGCCGGGAAGAACUGCUGACCUGUCUAAAGAAAUAUAUCUGCGUCUCCCGGCAUGGCAGGACAGAUGGUGCCCGUUCGCACCGCGGCGACUUCUCUCGACGCCACACACCGAGCGGAGCCGAUGAGUGGUUUGUUUUUAUGGCAGGGAGGUAGCGAUGCUCUCGGACAUCCCGUGGCAAAGGGCUUGAUGGGAAAUGUCCACCGGGAGGGCAGGGGGGCAGCGGCACCACUCCUGCCCCGUCCCCGCGUACAUGACCUGCCGCAGGAUCGCCGAGGCAAGGGGCUUUCGGCAUCCGUGCCAGAGCCGCGCCCCUAGCUCCCUCCAAACAGGGUCUAAGGAUCGCCCCCACGCCCCUCGGCGGAGCGCCGGGCCGGGCUCACGCUGCCUUUGUGCCGCCCGCAGGAGCCCGUGUGAGGCAGCGCACCCCGAGC